CGUGUAGGCGGGGAUGCAAGUCUGAUGUGAAAGCCCCGGGCUUAACCUGGGAAGUGCAUUGGAAACUGCAUUUCUUGAGUACUGGAGAGGAAGGGGGAAUUCCCGGUGUAGAGGUGAAAUUCGUAGAGAUCGGGAGGAAUACCAGUGGCGUAGGCGCCUUUCUGGACGGUUACUGACGCUGAGACGCGAAAGCGUGGGGAGCAAACAGGAUUAGAUACCCUGGUAGUCCACGCUGUAAACGAUGAGCACUAGGUGUAGCGGGUACUCAUUCCUGCUGUGCCGCAGCUAACGCGUUAAGUGCUCCGCCUGGGGAUUACGGUCGCAAGACUAAA
rnacentral:rRNA from 1 species